rnacentral:rRNA from 1 species
AGUGAACGCUGGCGGUAGGCCUAACACAUGCAAGUCGAACGGCAGCACAGUAAGAGCUUGCUCUUACGGGUGGCGAGUGGCGGACGGGUGAGGAAUACAUCGGAAUCUACUUUUUCGUGGGGGAUAACGUAGGGAAACUUACGCUAAUACCGCAUACGACCUACGGGUGAAAGCAGGGGAUCUUCGGACCUUGCGCGAUUGAAUGAGCCGAUGUCGGAUUAGCUAGUUGGCGGGGUAAAGGCCCACCAAGGGGACGAUCCGUAGCUGGUCUGAGAGGCUGAUCAGCCACACUGGAACUGAGACACGGCCCAGACUCCUGAGGGAGGCAGCAGUGGGGAAUAUUAGACAAUGGGCGCAAGCCUGAUCCAGCCAUACCGCGUGGGUGAAGAAGGCCUUCGGGCUGUAAAGCCCUUUUGUUGGGAAAGAAAAGCAGCAGGUUAAUACCCCGCUGUUCUGACGGUACCCAAAGAAUAAGCACCGGCUAACUUCGUG